AGGGUAUAGACCCGAAACCCGGUGAUCUAGCCAUGGGCAGGUUGAAGGUUGGGUAACACUAACUGGAGGACCGAACCGACUAAUGUUGAAAAAUUAGCGGAUGACCUGUGGCUGGGGGUGAAAGGCCAAUCAAACCGGGAGAUAGCUGGUUCUCCCCGAAAGCUAUUUAGGUAGCGCCUCGUGAAUUCAUCUCCGGGGGUAGAGCACUGUUUCGGCUAGGGGGCCAUCCCGGCUUACCAACCCGAUGCAAACUGCGAAUACCGGAGAAUGUUAUCACGGGAGACACACGGCGGGUGCUAACGUCCGUCGUGAAGAGGGAAACAACCCAGACCGCCAGCUAAGGUCCCAAAGUCAUGGUUAAGUGGGAAACGAUGUGGGAAGGCCCAGACAGCCAGGAUGUUGGCUUAGAAGCAGCCAUCAUUUAAAGAAAGCGUAAUAGCUCACUGGUCGAGUCGGCCUGCGCGGAAGAUGUAACGGGGCUAAACCAUGCACCGAAGCUGCGGCAGCGACGCUGAUGCGUUGUUGGGUAGGGGAGCGUUCUGUAAGCCUGUGAAGGUGGCCUGUGAGGGUUGCUGGAGGUAUCAGAAGUGCGAAUGCUGACAUAAGUAACGAUAAAGCGGGUGAAAAGCCCGCUCGCCGGAAGACCAAGGGUUCCUGUCCAACGUUAAUCGGGGCAGGGUGAGUCGACCCCUAAGGCGAGGCCGAAAGGCGUAGUCGAUGGGAAACGGGUUAAUAUUCCCGUACUUGGUGUUACUGCGAAGGGGGGACGGAGAAGGCUAUGUUGGCCGGGCGACGGUU
rnacentral:rRNA from 1 species